rnacentral:lncRNA from 1 species
CUCAACCCCAACUCUGCAUGCUCUGAGCAGCCAGCUCCACCCAGCACUCACCAUCCCACCCACUUUCGUCUCUCCUGCUUCAACAUCUCCCUCAUUCUGUUGUGUCUCCUGUAGUUGCAUUUGUUGCAGUUCACUUGAGCUGAGCCCCGAGGCCCUUCUACCUCUAGUACUGCCUGUCCAGGACAGGCACAAGCAUCCAGGCCUGAACGGGAUGGAUAUGGCCCUAGAAAACAGAAAACAGGAUUCCAGUCCCAGCUAAACUGGGUAUGGCAAGACAAGGACCUGGGUUCCCAUGUGCUCAUGCUGAGAACUUGAGAAGGGACAGGAAUUCUGCAGAUCAACACAGCUUCAUAAAGGCCAGCCAGGGGCUACCACCAUUUUGCAGUGAGAAUAAUGUUUAUUGAGAAUGGCUCAUUACAAACAAAAUAUAUAUAAAAUCUCUGCAAUGCAAAA